GAAUAGCCUCUGGAAACGGAGAGUAAUACCGUAUACGCCCUUUGGGGGAAAGAUUUAUCGGAGAAGGAUCGGUCCGCGUUAGAUUAGGUAGUUGGUGGGGUAACGGCCUACCAAGCCUACGAUCUAUAGCUGGUUUUAGAGGAUGAUCAGCAACACUGGGACUGAGGCACGGCCCAGACUCCUACGGGAGGCAGCAGUGGGGAAUCUUAGACAAUGGGGGCAACCCUGAUCUAGCCAUGCCGCGUGAGUGAUGAAGGCCUUAGGGUCGUAAAGCUCUUUCGCCUGUGAUGAUAAUGACAGUAGCAGGUAAAGAAACCCCGGCUAACUCCGUGCCAGCAGCCGCGGUAAUACGGAGGGGGUUAGCGUUGUUCGGAAUUACUGGGCGUAAAGCGCGCGUAGGCGGAUUAGAAAGUUGGGGGUGAAAUCCCGGGGCUCAACCCCGGAACUGCCUCCAAAACUGCUAGUCUAGAGUUCGAGAGAGGUGAGUGGAAUUCCGAGUGUAGAGGUGAAAUUCGUAGAUAUUCGGAGGAACACCAGUGGCGAAGGCGGCUCACUGGCUCGAUACUGACGCUGAGGUGCGAAAGUGUGGGGAGCAAACAGGAUUAGAUACCCUGGUAGUCCACACCGUAAACGAUGAAUGCCAGUCGUCGGAUAGUAUGCUAUUCGGUGACACACCUAACGGAUUAAGCAUUCCGCCUGGGGAGUACGGUCGCAAGAUUAAAACUCAAAGGAAUUGACGGGGGCCCGCACAAGCGGUGGAGCAUGUGGUUUAAUUCG
rnacentral:rRNA from 1 species